AUUGAACGCUGGCGGCAGGCCUAACACAUGCAAGUCGAGCGAGCGGCGGACGGGUGAGUAAUGUAUGGGGACUGCCCGAUAGAGGGGUAUACCUACUGGAAACGGUUGCUAAUACCGCAUACUAUCGGAUAACCCAUAUGGGAUUAGCUAGUAGGUCAGGUAAUGGCUUACCUAGGCGACGAUCCCUAGCUGGUCUGCGAGGAUGAUCAGCCACAUGGGGACUGAGACACGGCCCAGACUCCGACGGAGGCAGCGGUGGGGAAUAUUGCACAAGGGGCGCAAGCAUGAUGCAGCCAUGCCGCGUGUAUGAAGAAGGACCUAGGGUUGUAAAGUACUUUCAGUCGGGAGGCGUUACCGACAGAAGAAGCACAGGCUAACUCCGUGCCAGCAGCCGCGGUAAUAC
rnacentral:rRNA from 1 species